rnacentral:rRNA from 1 species
GACGAACGCUGGCGGCGUGCUUAACACAUGCAAGUCGAACGGAAAGGCCCCUUUGGGGGUACUCGAGUGGCGAACGGGUGAGUAACACGUGAGUAACCUGCCCUUGACUUCGGGAUAACUUCAGGAAACUGGGGCUAAUACCGGAUAGGAAUCCUUGCUGCAUGGUGGGGGUUGGAAAGCUUCGGCGGUUUUGGAUAGACUCGCGGCUUAUCAGCUUGUUGGUGGGGUAGUGGCUUACCAAGGCUUUGACGAGUAGCCGGCCUGAGAGGGCGACCGGCCACAUUGGGACUGAGAUACGGCCCAGACUCCUACGGGAGGCAGCAGUGGGGAAUAUUGCACAAUGGGCGGAAGCCUGAUGCAGCAACGCCGCGUGCGGGAUGACGGCCUUCGGGUUGUAAACCGCUUUCAGCAGGGGCGAAGCUUGUGGUGACGGUACCUGCAGAAGAAGCACCGGCUAACUACGUG